UACGUAGGGGGCAAGCGUUGUCCGGAAUCAUUGGGCGUAAAGAGCGUGUAGGCGGCCCGAUAAGUCCGCCGUGAAAGUCCAGGGCUCAACCCUGGAAUGCCGGUGGAAACUGUCGGGCUGGAGUCCGGAAGAGGCGAGUGGAAUUCCUGGUGUAGCGGUGAAAUGCGCAGAUAUCAGGAGGAACACCAGUGGCGAAGGCGACUACCUGGCCUGUUCUUGACGCUGAGGCGCGAAAGCUAGGGGAGCAAACAGG
rnacentral:rRNA from 1 species